rnacentral:misc_RNA from 1 species
AUUUGAUGGUUCAAUUAUUCAUUUUGAUUAAUAAAUUUUGGUUUAAUGUCGGUCAUUCAGUUUUGUUCAUCUUUUAUUUUACAUAUGAACUGACCCGAUUUUAGUCAUGGGUCACAGGUAGUUUGCUCUUAUUCGAUAACUAUGCAUUCAGGCCCUUUACCUUCUUGAAAUAUUCCUUUUCUUCUCUGCUUCAUUUUGCAGUGCCCUGCUCAAUCACUUUUCCAGUUAUUAAAUAGAAAUAAUGGAAUUAGAAGUCUACAAAUCAGAUUUUGUAUUCAAUCUGCAAUAUUG